CGCGCGCGUACGGAACUGCUGCUAGAGCCCGGCGGCGCCGGUCUCCAGCUCAGAAGGUGCCGCAGGGAAUUCGCAAACACUAACGGUAACCAGGGCAGCCGAAGGCGCGGCGGUGAGGGAAGGCGCGCUGCGCAUGCGCGCAGGACGCUGCGUUAGGGGAGCGGAGUGGAGAGGCGGGCGACUAAGUUCCCGCGGUGCGGGGGCGCACACGAGAUUUGGCUGCUAGCGAGCGCAGCGCUGCGUGCCUUUGGCGCCGGCCUAACGCAGGCGGCUGAGAACUUGGCGCUUGUUUCUGCGCAGCCUCUUCAGCCCCGCUGCCCGGGAAGAGCGGCGCUCCACCGGUCUCAAACGUUAGCGCGCCAAAGACCGGAACCACCUGGAGUGCUGUGGGAAACUUACUCCGAAGCCACACCCCUAGGUAUUCAGACUGUGAUUCUCGGGUGCGGCUCCACGAAAUCAACGUCCUCGACAGCCGCGGUCGCUGAUUUGGCUGCAGGUGGCCUGUGUGGCCCGCACCUUUGAGAAACCAUGAUGUAUAGGAUUCGUGGCUAGUAGUUCUUGCCCCGGAAAGAAGGCCAGAGUCUCGGGUAUUGAGACUUCCGCCCCGGCUACUCCAGCAAAGCUCCAGAUUUUGAAGCCUAGGGCGGUGUAGUUUCUCAUUUCAGGGUUAGGAGAAUGGGACCAGACUGUAGAGAUCAGAUCCACACCACUCCACACUGCAUCUCUUGCCGCCUGAGAUUACCUUGCUUGCUGUAUCAGGAUGAUUAGUCUUGAUUUCAUAUUCCAGCCUGUAUUGAAUGUAAUCCAGAUCAGAGUCAGCUUUCUGGAACUAAAGAUCAGCACAAAUAACAUUUUGUGAACAAAAGAUAUAUUAAUAAACAUGAUGUACUGUUAA